rnacentral:rRNA from 1 species
UACGGAGGGUGCAAGCGUUAUCCGGAUUCACUGGGUUUAAAGGGUGCGUAGGUGGGUUGGUAAGUCAGUGGUGAAAUCUCCGUGCUUAACAUGGAAACUGCCAUUGAUACUACUGAUCUUGAAUUUUCUGGAGGUAAGCGGAAUAUGUCAUGUAGCGGUGAAAUGCUUAGAUAUGACAUAGAACACCAAAUUGCGAAGGCAGCUUGCUACAGGGAUAUUGACACUGAGGCACGAAAGCGUGGGGAUCAAACAGG